rnacentral:misc_RNA from 1 species
UUUCUAGACAGCAUAGAAUUAAAAUAUGUUUAGACAUAAAAAAAAAAUUUUCUGUACAAACAAAAGAAACCUUUAUAAUGCAUGAUUCAUUAAAAUUAUCAAAAUGUGUUGGAAUUUUGAAGAUUGUUUGAAAAAUUAUGAGGAUUACAUUACAGUUUUAUGUUAAAUUUUGUCUCAUAAAAACAUCAAAAAAUAAGUCUUGAACAUUACAGCUUUCUACUUUCUGAACUUCAAUAUCAUCUACCCUGAUUUUACCUUCAAUCAGAGGCAGUCAAGCCAGAUAUAACCAUAAUUCAUCCUUAACAAAUCAAAAUUUAAGAAGGAAUUUUUAAAUCUUUUUCCUUAUUCACAAAUUUGAAAUUCAACUUAGGUUCAACGGUGAAAUUAUAAAAAUAGUAUUGCAUUACCUUAGCCCGAGUAUCAGGUUUCUUACAGGCAUUCGACUUUGUUAAGGACAAUUUAUUCAACUUUUUAUGAUUGUGAUCAUUUUGAAAAUAUUAACUACAAGCUAACAUAUAUAAAUAGCAUCACCAGGUUAUCACAUUUUUAACCUGACAAUUUAGUGAAAAAUGAAAUUUAUCAAAAAUCCUGAAUUUAAUUUCACAAUUUCAGAGAUAAACAAGCAAACCUUCACAUGAACAGAGAAUUUGAUCUAAAUCAAUUUACAAUGGACAAUUGAACUCCACAAAUUAAUUUAAUUUUCCCAAUUUUAUUCAUAAGUUCCCACCAUCCAAACAGAAAAGAAAAAAAAAUGUAAUUCAAUAUCUGUCGUCCAAUACAUAAAUAACUCGAACCUGGCCAAUGAAUAAAAUCCAUGAAAGGUAAAUAAAUCAAAAUUAGAACUCUCAAAUCUUAUUCUAUCCUCGUAAAAACCGGAAAACCGUCUGAAUUACUUUCCAUAUACUAAAACACACAUGCCCAGUAUAAGAUCCAAAAAUUUUACUCUCAAAUCGCACACCUUCACACUAACCAGAAAGG